UACCAGCUAGCUCAGUUGCUAGAGCAUGAGACUCCUAAUCUCAGGGUUGUGGGUUCAAGUCCCACAUUGGGUGCCAU